GAGUUUGAUCCUGGCUCAGGACGAACGCUGGCGGCGCGCCUAACACAUGCAAGUCGAACGAGAGAGAGGGAGCUUGCUUCCUUGAUCGAGUGGCGAACGGGUGAGUAACGCGUGAGGAACCUGCCUCAAAGAGGGGGACAACAGUUGGAAACGGCUGCUAAUACCGCAUAAGCCCACGGUGCCGCAUGGCACAGAGGGAAAAGGAGUAAUCCGCUUUGAGAUGGACCCGCGUCUGAUUAGCUGGUUGGUGAGGUAACGGCUCACCAAGGCGACGAUCAGUAGCCGGCUUGAGAGAGUGAACGGCCACAUUGGGACUGAGACACGGCCCAAACUCCUACGGGAGGCAGCAGUGGGGAAUAUUGCACAAUGGGGGAAACCCUGAUGCAGCGACGCCGCGUGAGUGAAGAAGUAUCUCGGUAUGUAAAGCUCUAUCAGCAGGGAAGAAAAUGACGGUACCUGACUAAGAAGCCCCGGCUAACUACGUGCCAGCCGCCGCGGUAAUUC
rnacentral:rRNA from 1 species